rnacentral:rRNA from 1 species
AUUGAACGCUGGCGGCAGGCCUAACACAUGCAAGUCGAGCGGUAGCACAGAGAGCUUGCUCUCGGGUGACGAGCGGCGGACGGGUGAGUAAUGUCUGGGAAACUGCCUGAUGGAGGGGGAUAACUACUGGAAACGGUAGCUAAUACCGCAUAAUGUCGCAAGACCAAAGUGGGGGACCUUCGGGCCUCAUGCCAUCAGAUGUGCCCAGAUGGGAUUAGCUAGUAGGUGGGGUAACGGCUCACCUAGGCGACGAUCCCUAGCUGGUCUGAGAGGAUGACCAGCCACACUGGAACUGAGACACGGUCCAGACUCCUACGGGAGGCAGCAGUGGGGAAUAUUGCACAAUGGGCGCAAGCCUGAUGCAGCCAUGCCGCGUGUGUGAAGAAGGCCUUCGGGUUGUAAAGCACUUUCAGCGGGGAGGAAGGCGUUAAGGUUAAUAACCUUGGCGAUUGACGUUACCCGCAGAAGAAGCACCGGCUAAUUCCGUGCCAGCAGCCGCGGUAAUACGGAGGGUGCAAGCGUUAAUCGGAAUUACUGGGCGUAAAGCGCACGCAGGCGGUCUGUCAAGUCGGAUGUGAAAUCCCCGGGCUCAACCUGGGAACUGCAUUCGAAACUGGCAGGCUAGAGUCUUGUAGAGGGGGGUAGAAUUCCAGGUGUAGCGGUGAAAUGCGUAGAGAUCUGGAGGAAUACCGGUGGCGAAGGCGGCCCCCUGGACAAAGACUGACGCUCAGGUGCGAAAGCGUGGGGAGCAAACAGGAUUAGAUACCCUGGUAGUCCACGCCGUAAACGAUGUCGAUUUGGAGGUUGUGCCCUUGAGGCGUGGCUUCCGGAGCUAACGCGUUAAAUCGACCGCCUGGGGAGUACGGCCGCAAGGUUAAAACUCAAAUGAAUUGACGGGGGCCCGCACAAGCGGUGGAGCAUGUGGUUUAAUUCGAUGCAACGCGAAGAACCUUACCUGGUCUUGACAUCCACAGAACUUAGCAGAGAUGCUUUGGUGCCUUCGGGAACUGUGAGACAGGUGCUGCAUGGCUGUCGUCAGCUCGUGUUGUGAAAUGUUGGGUUAAGUCCCGCAACGAGCGCAACCCUUAUCCUUUGUUGCCAGCGGUUAGGCCGGGAACUCAAAGGAGACUGCCAGUGAUAAACUGGAGGAAGGUGGGGAUGACGUCAAGUCAUCAUGGCCCUUACGACCAGGGCUACACACGUGCUACAAUGGCAUAUACAAAGAGAAGCGACCUCGCGAGAGCAAGCGGACCUCAUAAAGUAUGUCGUAGUCCGGAUUGGAGUCUGCAACUCGACUCCAUGAAGUCGGAAUCGCUAGUAAUCGUAGAUCAGAAUGCUACGGUGAAUACGUUCCCGGGCCUUGUACACACCGCCCGUCACACCAUGGGAGUGGGUUGCAAAAGAAGUAGGUAGCUUAACCUUCGGGAGGGCGCUUACCACUUUGUGAUUCAUGACUGGGGUGAAGUC